rnacentral:rRNA from 1 species
UGCCAGCCGCCGCGGUAAUACGUAGGGGGCAAGCGUUGUCCGGAUUUAUUGGGCGUAAAGAGCGUGUAGGCGGCCAGAUAGGUCGGUUGUGAAAACUGGAGGCUCAACCUCCAGACGUCGAUCGAAACCCUCUGGCUAGAGUCCGGAAGAGGAGAGUGGAAUUCCUGGUGUAGCGGUGAAAUGCGCAGAUAUCAGGAGGAACACCCGUGGCGAAAGCGGCUCUCUGGGACGGUACUGACGCUGAGACGCGAAAGCGUGGGGAGCGAACAGGAUUAGAUA